rnacentral:sRNA from 1 species
AAUAUGUUUCGACAGCAACAAAAGAUUCUUCAACAAUCUAGAAUUGUUCAGAGCCAGAGACUGAAAACAAUUAGACAGUUAUAUGAGCAGUUCAUAAAGAGUAUGGAAGAGUUGGAGAAGAAUCAUGAUAAUCUACUUACUGGUGCACAAAAUGAAUUUAAAAAAGAAAUGGCUAUGUUGCAAAAAAAAAUUAUGAUGGAAACUGUAAGUGAUCAUAUUGAAAUUGAAAAAAUAAGGAUUAAUAUAAGCAAUGAAAUAUUUUAUUUGCUGAAAUAGGUAUAACACUUAACUAAAAAUUAAACAAAUGUUUAAUAUCUCCUUCCAUGAAACAGCAGCAGCAAGAGAUAGCAAGUGUUCGGAAGUCUCUUCAAUCCAUGUUAUUCUGAUGACUCUUUGAAGAAAGAACUUGAACCUAAGUAAUAUGAUACAAUUAUAACGUUAGCUAAGAAGCAUAUUGUAAGUCUUUAGAAUAGUUUAAUUGUAACAUCUUUAAUCAUAAACCUGUUUCAUUGUAAGACCUCCCUUUCUGUUAAGUCAAAUCUAAAUAGUUAUUAGUUAGCAACUAUUCCUAAAGAAUAUGUAUUAAGCUUUCAGCUCUUUAGUAAUGAUAGUGAAUUUUUCUCUCUAACACUGUCAAUUAAAUAAAGACGAUUUAAUUUUA